ensembl:lncRNA CCDC26 CCDC26 long non-coding RNA
GGAGCUGGUAGAGUUGGAGCUGGCAGAGACAUCUGAGAAGCUGUCACAAGGGGUCAACAUGAUUGUAAAGUUGGAACGCAUGGAAAGGUCUAAAAUGCCACUGUCUCUGGCCACUAGGAUCUCUGACUUCAUAUCGCUUCUGCCUUCCGAAUCUCCUGAAGGCCUGAGGAGAGAAGACACAUAGUCAUGCUGACUAAACCAGAUCACCUAGAAUUACCAAAUGGAAAGAUUGUGCCUGCAGCCUGGCCUGUUGCCCACAGCGGUCUACCUGCCACACUGGGAAAGAUCGAGCAGAGACAGAGAAGAAAAGGAGGCUCCAUUUUUCAGGCUGCUCUCCCGCAGGCUCAUGUUUUGUGUUCAUGCCAGGCAGAGAACACAAAAUGUUCCAAUAAAUAAGUAUCAAAGGUUAGUGGUGAAAAUGAAGGAGGAGGAGGCAUUGCGUGAAAAACUAAACAUGCAAAAUAUUACACACAAAGAGAACCAAAAUGCAGGUUCACUGGAAAUGAUAGACAAUAUGUUAAAACAAGAGGAGAGAAGAGAGCUGAAAUAAUCAAAUGGAAACACACAAUUUAGGGCUAAGAUCUUGUUGUGUUCAGCCACAAAUGAUGGCCAGCAGUGAGGAAUCUGUGUGUUCUCCACACUCUUCGCUCCUGGGAAGUCAACUCACAUGGACCAUGAUAUCAAUAUCUGCUCCUUCCCCUAAUAUCUGUUUGACCUUGGGUCAGUUACUUAAACUUCCUAAGCCUUAGUUUCUUUGUCUGGAAAAUAGGGAUAGUUAUACCUACCACACAACCACUUUGUAAUGAAUAUGUUGGAAAUUAUAUGCAAAUUGGCUUCCGUUGGUGUUUGGAACAUAGUAGGUUUUUAACUGGAAUAUAAUAGCUACCAUUAUCAGUAUCAUCAUAUUAAUUUAUAUUUCCAUCUUCAGCCCUUAACCCAGGAUCUUCAGUAAAUGUUGAAUUCUCAAAUUUGUUAAAUUCACUUGUCUAUACUAAUAUUUUACUCUAGGUUUCUUAGAAUAUUCUAGAUAAUAUUAUUAUGUAGAAUAUGUUAUGUAAGCUUCAUCUUAUCUGUAAAUAUAGUUUUACUUUUUCCUUUCUAAUUUUUAUGUCGAUUACUUCUUUUUCUUGGCUUAUUGAAUUGGCUAGGAUUCCCGUACAGUGUUGAAUACGUGCAGCAAGACUGCACAUCUUGCCUUGUUCCUGGUCCCACAGAGAGAAUAUCCAGUACUUCACAAUAAGUAUGUGUUAAUUGUAGAUUUUAUUAGAUUGAGGAAGUUCCCUUUCCUUUCAAGUCAGUCUUUUUAUUUUAAACAUGUAUUGAAGUUUUGUCAAAUGUCUUCAUCUAUUGGAAUAAUUAUACAUAUCUCUUUUUUAUUCUGUUAAUAUUACAUUUCAAUCUUCUGUCUACCUAAAAUCCCUAGAAUAAUCUCCAUUUGGCUAUGAUGUGUUGUGCUUUUAUAUAUUACUGAAUUCUAUAUGCCAAUAUUAUUAAAAUUUUCUGUCUUUAUGAGAAA